AGAUUUAAAGAAAAACUAUUAGAGGCUAUAAUAAUUGGCUUGUGGCAGCCAAGCGUUCAUAGCGACGUUGGUUUUUGAUCCUUCGAUGUCGGCUCUUCCUAUCAUACUGAAGCAGAAUUCAGUAAGCGUUGGAUUGUUCACCCAUCAAUAGGGAACGUGAGCCGGGUUUAAUGAUGAAAUGUUGUUGCAAUAGUAAUUGAAUAUUGUACGAGAGGAACCGUUCAUUCGGAUAAUUGGUAUUCGGGCCUGCCUGAACAGGCAAUGGCCCAAAGCUAUCACUCGUUGGACUAUGGCUGAACAGUGAGUGAUAUAAAGUGAGGGAAGUGUGGACAGCAAAGUCAAGUGCAGAAAAAAAAGUGGCAUGGAGUG
rnacentral:ncRNA from 1 species